rnacentral:rRNA from 1 species
AGAGUUUGAUCCUGGCUCAGGACGAACGCUGGCGGCGUGCCUAAUACAUGCAAGUAGAACGCUGAAGAGAGGAGCUUGCUCUUCUUGGAUGAGUUGCGAACGGGUGAGUAACGCGUAGGUAACCUGCCUUGUAGCGGGGGAUAACUAUUGGAAACGAUAGCUAAUACCGCAUAACAAUGGAUGACACAUGUCAUUUAUUUGAAAGGGGCAAUUGUUCCACUACAAGAUGGACCUGCGUUGUAUUAGCUAGUAGGUGAGGUAAUGGCUCACCUAGGCGACGAUACAUAGCCGACCUGAGAGGGUGAUCGGCCACACUGGGACUGAGACACGGCCCAGACUCCUACGGGAGGCAGCAGUAGGGAAUCUUCGGCAAUGGGGGCAACCCUGAUCGAGCAACGCCGCGUGAGUGAAGAAGGUUUUCGGAUCGUAAAGCUCUGUUGUAAGUCAAGGACGGGUGUGAGAGUGGAAAGUUCACACUGUGACGGUAGCUUACCAGAAGGGGACGGCUAACUACGUGCCAGCAGCCGCGGUAAUACGUAGGUCCCGAGCGUUGUCCGGAUUUAUUGGGCGUAAAGCGAGCGCAGGCGGUUUGAUAAGUCUGAAGUUAAAGGCUGUGGCUCAACCAUAGUUCGCUUUGGAAACUGUCAAACUUGAGUGCAGAAGGGGAGAGUGGAAUUCCAUGUGUAGCGGUGAAAUGCGUAGAUAUAUGGAGGAACACCGGUGGCGAAAGCGGCUCUCUGGUCUGUAACUGACGCUGAGGCUCGAAAGCGUGGGGAGCGAACAGGAUUAGAUACCCUGGUAGUCCACGCCGUAAACGAUGAGUGCUAGGUGUUGGAUCCUUUCCGGGAUUCAGUGCCGCAGCUAACGCAUUAAGCACUCCGCCUGGGGAGUACGACCGCAAGGUUGAAACUCAAAGGAAUUGACGGGGGCCCGCACAAGCGGUGGAGCAUGUGGUUUAAUUCGAAGCAACGCGAAGAACCUUACCAGGUCUUGACAUCCCGAUGCUAUUUCUAGAGAUAGAAAGUUACUUCGGUACAUCGGUGACAGGUGGUGCAUGGUUGUCGUCAGCUCGUGUCGUGAGAUGUUGGGUUAAGUCCCGCAACGAGCGCAACCCCUAUUGUUAGUUGCCAUCAUUCAGUUGGGCACUCUAGCGAGACUGCCGGUAAUAAACCGGAGGAAGGUGGGGAUGACGUCAAAUCAUCAUGCCCCUUAUGACCUGGGCUACACACGUGCUACAAUGGUUGGUACAACGAGUUGCGAGUCGGUGACGGCGAGCUAGUCUCUUAAAGCCAAUCUCAGUUCGGAUUGUAGGCUGCAACUCGCCUACAUGAAGUCGGAAUCGCUAGUAAUCGCGGAUCAGCACGCCGCGGUGAAUACGUUCCCGGGCCUUGUACACACCGCCCGUCACACCACGAGAGUUUGUAACACCCGAAGUCGGUGAGGUAACCUUUUGGAGCCAGCCGCCUAAGGUGGGACAGAUGAUUGGGGUGAAGUCGUAACAAGGUA